rnacentral:rRNA from 1 species
AUUGAACGCUGGCGGCAGGCCUAACACAUGCAAGUCGAGCGGAUGAAGGGAGCUUGCUCCUGGAUUCAGCGGCGGACGGGUGAGUAAUGCCUAGGAAUCUGCCUGGUAGUGGGGGAUAACGUCCGGAAACGGGCGCUAAUACCGCAUACGUCCUGAGGGAGAAAGUGGGGGAUCUUCGGACCUCACGCUAUCAGAUGAGCCUAGGUCGGAUUAGCGAGUUGGUGGGGUAAAGGCCUACCAAGGCGACGAUCCGUAACUGGUCUGAGAGGAUGAUCAGUCACACUGGAACUGCGACACGGUCCAGACUCCUACGGGAGGCAGCAGUGGGGAAUAUUGGACAAUGGGCGAAAGCCUGAUCCAGCCAUGCCGCGUGUGUGAAGAAGGUCUUCGGAUUGUAAAGCACUUUAAGUUGGGAGGAAGGGCAGUAAGUUAAUACCUUGCUGUUUUGACGUUACCAACAGAAUAAGCACCGGCUAACUUCGUG